rnacentral:rRNA from 1 species
GACGAACGCUGGCGGCGUGCCUAAUACAUGCAAGUAGAACGCUGAAGGAGGAGCUUUCUUCUCCGGAUGAGUUGCGAACGGGUGAGUAACGCGUAGGUAACCUGCCUGGUAGCGGGGGAUAACUAUUGGAAACGAUAUCUAAUACCGCAUAACAGUAUAUGUUGCAUGACAUUUGCUUAAAAGGUGCAAUUUCAUCACUACCAUAUGGACCUGCGUUGUAUUAGCUAGUUGGUAAGGUAAAGGCUCACCAAGGCGACGAUACAUAGCCGACCUGAGAGGGUGAUCGGCCAAAAUGGGACUGAGAAAAGGGCCAGAAUGCUAAGGGAGGCAGCAGUAGGGAAUCUUAGGCAAUGGACGGAAGUCUGACCGAGCAACGCCGCGUGAGUGAAGAAGGUUUUCGGAUCGUAAAGCUCUGUUGUAAGAGAAGAAAGAGUGUGAGAGUGGAAAGUUCACACUGUGACGGUAUCUAACCAGAAAGGGACGGCUAACUACGUG